CCUAGUAAGCGCAAGUCAUCAGCUUGCGUUGAUUACGUCCCUGCCCUUUGUACACACCGCCCGUCGCUACUACCGAUUGAAUGGUUCAGUGAGGCUUUCGGACUGGCCCAGGGAGGUCGGCAACGACCACCCCAGGGCGGAAAGUUAUCCAAACUCGAUCAUUUAGAGGAAGUAAAAGUCGUAACAAGGUCUCCGUUGGUGAACCAGCGGAGGGAUCAUU
rnacentral:rRNA from 1 species